CAGCAGCCGCGGGAAUACGUAGGGUGCAAGCGUUAAUCGGAAUUACUGGGCGUAAAGCGUGCGCAGGCGGUUUGUUAAGACAGAUGUGAAAUCCCCGGGCUCAACCUGGGAACUGCAUUUGUGACUGGCAAGCUAGAGUGUGGCAGAGGGGCGUGGAAUUCCGCGUGUAGCAGUGAAAUGCGUAGAUAUGCGGAGGAACACCGAUGGCGAAGGCAGCCCCCUGGGCCAACACUGACGCUCAUGCACGAAAGCGUGGGGAGCGAACAGGAUUAGAUACCCGAGUAGUCCCUGUCUCUUAUAC
rnacentral:rRNA from 1 species